rnacentral:tRNA from 1 species
GCCUCGUUAGCUCAGUCGGUAGAGCGUUACCCUGGUAAGGUAAAGGUCCCGGGAUCAAUACCCGGACGGGGCU